rnacentral:rRNA from 1 species
GCUAACCAUACCUAGGCGAAAACACCAGUUCCCGUCCGAUCACUGCAGUUCAGUGUCUGAGGAUCUUGUGAUUAAUAUGCUCCGAAAAAACAUUGGAAUCCAAGGUCCUGUUGGCU